rnacentral:lncRNA from 1 species
AAUUGGUUUCGUCCUUCACUGAUCAGUCAUCCGAAGGUACUUAGUACAAGAUUUGAAGGUAGUGACUCCCGACUCGUAGGCUCUCUUCUCAGUGAUAAUGUUCACCCCGGAGCUCGAAUCUAGGGGAACGUUAGUAAUGGUGCUUCCCAAAAUCUCUAUCUCUACUUCCGGCGCUCCCAAUUCUUCUUCACUCAUAUGAAAAGUCUUCUCAAGCGACA